UGGGAAAUCUCAGCUUCCUGAAUUCUCUGUGCAGUGUGCUAAACAAAUAUCUUCUCAGGAUCAUCACAGUUUUACUAACAUUUGAAAUGUUAUUUAUUUCUCAAAAAUUAUAGAAUCGCAGAAUGUUAUGAAUUGGAAGAGACCUCAAAGCCCACCCAGCCCCAACCCCAGCCAUGGGCAGGGCUGCCCCCCACCAGCUCAGGCUGCCCAGGGUCCAUCCAACCUGGCCUGGAGCGCCUCCAGGGAUGGGGUGCCCACAGCUCUGGGCAGCAGUGCCAGGGCCUCACCGCCCUCUGAGUAAAGAAUUUCUGCCUAACGUGUAGCUUAAAUCUCUCCUCUUAUAGUUUAAAGCCAGUCCUUCUUGUCCCAUUUCUAUCAGACUAUGUAAAAAGUCAGUCCCCUUUCUGCUUGUAAACUCCAUCUCAAGUACUGGAAGGCUGUCAUGAGGUCUCCCUGGAGCAUUCUCUUCUCCAGGCUAUACAAGUCCAACUCCCUGAGCCUUUCUUCAUAGGAGAGGUGCUCCAGUCCUCUGAUCAGUGCUGUAUUGACUGGUUGUCUGGAACUGAUGGGGCAGAAGACUGUGUCAGUACGGUUAUGAGGAAGAAUGUGAAUACUUCUGGAUAGGUAGUGAUAGGAGGAGACUGCCAAGGGCAGUUAAUCCCUACAAACAGAGAGGAGAGACAGGAAUGAAAGGAAUGAAAAUAAAGGCCAUACAGGCACAGACAAGAUUUGAGAUCAGUCUUAGCGUAAGAUUAACAAGAAGGCAUUAGUUUACACUGGAUGGAUGUGUGGAUCAAGAGUGGCUCUUGGCAGCCUUCUCUGUAGGAAGCAGGAAAGGUGCAUUCUUGUUUUCUGCCUUCCAACUCAGAGGCCAGUUAGGUAUUUCUAGGGAAGCUCUACAGUGUCCAGCUGAAGGACACACACUGAGCUUGAGCUUACUGCCUUGAACCAACUCCUGCUGCCCCUCCAGUGUUCAGGUGUGCGUCACAGAGCUUCUUUGAAUGUGCUGUAAAGAAAGGAAAUAGCUAGUUAACUAAUCUCAGUCAAAACUUACCCUUGCUGAAGUACAAACUGAGCCACCUGCAAUGGGCACCAAAUGAUCCACGCGAGUCCCCUGGAGCUGUAGAUGCUUCUUGUGUGUCCUUCUCUGCAGCAUUUCCACGUGCCUGUUAUUUCAGCUGCUAUUCACUGCUGCAGAGUCUGAGUCCUCAGGUCAGGGGAGAUUUAUCAUUACCAUGAGGACAGGCACAGGCUUCAAAAGCUGUUGUUGAUUUUCAAAUUAAAAAAUCCUUAUUAGCAGGAAGAGAAAUAAAAAAAGUUGAAACCUGCAAACAGAAAGCAGUAAGAGGAGAAUCACGUGUCUUUUGAUCAUGAUUAUGCUUUCAGAAGCAUAUUGGCAUAAUGAAGGGAUAAUUACUAACUAUGCUGGGCUCUGUUUUCACACAUUUAUGACGAACAGGCAUGGGAGCGGGCAGGUUGUCACUGAUUUUAGGCGAAGCUGUUCAGUAGGCACAAAGGAACUUAAACACCAAUAGGAAAUAGUUCAGCCUCCAUAGCCUGCCUCCAUGUUUCCAGCAGGACUAAAUUUACUGACCAGCAGAAAAAGCAGUGUGUGGAGUUGCAUCAACAGUGCUCAGUAAUUGUAUGUCUUUGUGACAGUAAAAUGGUAUUAAAAUACCAGAAGCCUCAAGCCAAGCAGCUGCAGUGUCAAAAAGCUUUCUAGCAACUUAGCUGCCUCCUUGCACGUGCACACAGAAUAUGAAGUCUUUCACACACAUUUAAGGGGUUUUGCACACAGAUCCCAUGCAGAUCUGCAGUUCUCCAUCACAGUGCCUCCAGUCCAGAGUAACUUUGGCAGAAUAACUGUCUCUUGAGGGACAGCGUGGGACAGCAAUGCUUCCAUUAGAUAAAAAACUUACAGCACUUGCUCUCACUGCAGUCCUUCAAUCCUGAAAGGUGCGGCCUCUCUACAACACUGCUCUCUACAGCUACAUGAAAGGAGGUUGUGAUGGGGUGGGUGUCAGCCUCUUCUCUCAGGUAACAAGCAACAGGAUGAAAGAGAAUGGCCUUAAGUUGUGCUGGAGAGUGUGAGGUGGUCAGGUUGGAUAUUAGAAAGAAUUUCUUCUCAGAAGGAAUGGUGGGGCAUUGGAACAGGCUGCCCAGGGAGGUGGUAGAGUCACUGUCCCUGGAGGUGUUUAAGUACCAUGGAGAUGUAGCACUGAGGGAUGUGGUUAGUGGGCAGUAUUGGUGGUAACUGGACAAUUGGACUAGAUGAUCUUAGUGGUCUUUUCCAAACUUAAGGAUUCCAUGAUGUUCAUGCUGCUGCUGAGCACAUUUGAAGGCCACUGGAAAUCAAGCCCACAGCUUCCUCUAAAACCAGAACCUAAUUUUCAGUCCUGUAAUUAACACUGGAUAGCCUCGACAUGUAACUCAAAAUGCAUGUUUUCUCCUUACAUGGGUUAAAAUCACUGAGGCUGACUAUUUUCAAGCAUGUACAUCCCAUGAUCAGUCUUAUAGAUUUGCUCCAGAUUGUUUUGCGUAUUACCAUUCCAGGUGGCUAUGAGUUAAUUAGCAAGCUUUGUGUUUCAGGGUGCACUAUAGCCAUUCAUAAAUAAAUCAUUAUUGAAUACAGAGUGCGCAGAUACUUGAUGAUGUGACAGAAAUCCUUUUGGCUAGCACGGGACAACUGAAAUGUAUGUAUUAUUUGUGACCAUAUGCAGCUUUUCCAUUAAUUGGCCUCAUCUGGGUUCGAGUUGUGGAGAGAAAGAGGUUUGAUCUGUCAUUGGUUCUUAUUCAUCAUGGCCCGAUUUUUAUUUCCUUAGGUUCCAGGCCAGUCUCUAAUACACAAGAUCCAGUUUUCCCUCAGAUGCUAAAAGGGACGCAGUUUGGGUUUGGAUAUCUGAGAAAGAGGGCAUAAAGGCAGUAAGACCUUCUGUGGGUAAGGUCUCACCUACAUCUUCCAGCCUUGAGCAGUUCAGUGCCUCUCAAGAGUUUUCUCCUGUUCCUCACUCUUGAGGGUCAUCUUAGCACACAGCUGACCCCUGCCUGAUGACACAUGGAGGAAGGCAGCCAGAAUGCUGGUGGUAGCCAUCCCUGGCAAUGUGUGAGGGAUGGAGAUUUUGUGCCAAGAGUGAGCAAGAAGCAAAACAUGGACUCUUUGCUCCCACCACCAAAUCUGUGAGUCCCUUUCCUCUGGGGUGCCUGUCCCAUCCAGGAUUACAUCCAUGCCUGAAUCUACUGGCUUUUUCAUUCCUCUCCUCUGUCCCUGUAAUGCCAAGUCACAGGGCUGCACUCUUCCCUUGCUGAGCAGUGCUGGUGUCAGGGAAAGAGGAGGAGGAAGCAAUGCAGGGAAGUUCAGAAGGAUCUGUGCAAUGAUUCUAUAGGGGCAGUUUGUCAUGUCAGCCCUGUGGACACCAACCUCAAUGCAUUCAAGAGCUCCCAGUGGGUGAGCAGAACCAAAGCACAUUAGUAGCAUCCAUCCAUCCUCUCCCGACAGCCAGGUCCCUGUGACCACAGAGGUAUGUUUCUGAAGUACUACAGAGGGCUUUUUGGUGUUAAAUUCUGUUUUUCUGGCAUAUUUAUUGAGACAUUGCCCCUCUAAGCUUUUUGAAACAUGGGCUGAGGUCAUUAGCACAGUUCGUAAUUUCAGCAGCGCUUGUGAACCUUCAGAUUUAGUUUGUUGUUUCAUCAGAGUCAUUUUCUUCAGCACAUCUUUUUUAAUUAUUUUUUAAUCCAUUCCCUCCCCACAUGCACAGACCUCACAGGGAUUUUCAUGCAUUUAAAUGAAAAAGCUGAACGGUUCCCUUUUCUUGUUCACAUUAUGCAGCAUUGCCCUUCUCUGUUCUUAUCCUAUUUCAGAGCUGUCAUGCAAACAAACCCAACUUAAAAAAAAAAAAUUAAAAAUCAUUACAGAGGUAUGCAUCCUGUCAACCCUCUGUCUUGGCUACUUCUCACUGUAUGUGUAAGGAGAAAUCCCUUCUCCUGAUUGCGCUUCUCUUUCAGGUAUAUUGACUUCUUUUUAAUCUCUAAUUCAUUAUUUCUCUGGCUCCCCAAAAUGCUCUGGUCUGCUCUGGUUGCCCAAUAAACCACUACUCCCUUCCCUACCAUGCAUAGGUAGUACUUACUUUUCCAGGGCUAUGGAACUCUUGUUUUCAUUGAUAUUUUCUUCUUCAACUAAUCUAGAAGGGGAGGAUUGUUCUUUUCUGUAAAGUCUGUUCUGUGAAGCAUGCUGUGCUGCUAGGACAACCCCUUGUCUUUUUCCACAUGUGUAUGCCUUAGCAAAGUAGUCAUUGCAACUCUUUCCUCCACAAUUUAAGUAUCUGAUUGUUUUCAAUAUUAUUUCUUACUCUUGUAUAUCAUCUGAGUCAGCUUUUAAGGAAGGCUGAGCCAGAAAACUUCAACAGGCGUUAAUAUCAAUUUCAUUUAUUUAUUUAUUUGCCAAGCCAGCUCUUAUUAGAAAUCUUCACCAUGCCAAGAAGUUACUCUCUGGGAAGCCUUUUCAUGUCCCUGAUCAAAAUGUAGGGACACUGGCUUCUGCAAGGUAAGCAGUAUGAGCUCCUGUGUGAUUUUCACAAUGGCAAUGGAAAAAAACCUUACCUUUAGCAGAGUCCAAACACAGAAGAUGCAUCCAGCUCUGGGAUUUCUUAGAGGGCAACCCCAGGAAGUAUCAUUUUUGCUUACUCUCAGCACAAGUACAUGGCUCUCAUUAUUGACUCUCCUGGGCAACAGCCAUAAACCAGGCUCAAACACAUAUAAAAAGGGGAAAGACAGCAGGGCUGUAAUGAUCAUGACAGCAAGUGGAAGUGUGAUGGGACAGGGCUCAAAAGAGACAACUACAAAUUGCUCCCGAGGAGGUAUAUAUCUUGUUCUUACUGCAGCUGAAGCUCUUAUUGGGAAGAUGUGGAUGUCAGCAUAGCUCUGGCAGGGAAUUUGUGCUAGCUGCAGAUGGAAAGAGUGAUAGAGCGUGGAAUAGGUAUGGAACAACAGGUCAAGGCUUUUGCCUGGUCUCUGAUAUCCCUCUGAUGGCCACGAGGCUGCCUUUUCUGAAGGAGGGUACAUUCUUGUAGCAAGAAAUGUAGUGGAAAAAUAACUAUUUUUUACUUAUUUCUCAAGCCCAUGAAGGAGCACGUAUAUGGAUAGCGGGAGACCAAGAAUUGAUAGGUAUGAAAGCAGCUCUGCCAACUCUUGUGCAGAACAUCAAACAGUGAAUUUAGACUGCACCAUCUUCCCAUCUCCCUGGAAAAACUUCCGAUGUUCUUGAUUUUAUCCACACAGGGAGGAUGAAAUGCUGUAAAUCUUAAUGAUUUGUGGGAUGGGGGAUAUUUCUCGCUUUCUAUAAAUACGUUAACCUCUUUGUCAGUGGGGAAUAAAGAUCUGCUUUGAAUUCAUGUUGCAUUUUUAAAGUUUCUUUCUAAGAUUCCUUUUUUUCCCCUUUUAUUUCCCGUCUCUUCUCAUGUAUCUCAGAAGAAACCAGCCUGCCAAACUGCUCCAGGAACCUCUUCUAAGCUCCUCUAUACUUUUCACUCAGCCCAGGUGCCAAAACGUGCGUGGCUGCAUCUUGAACAAACAAAAGCCUUUCACUGCACACCUGGCAAGUCAGCACUCCAAAAAAUAAAUACGAAGGUAUUCUGCUGAAGAACUGAGGCUCUCCUUGCCUGAAAACUAAAUGCCUUGGGACUGUGGACUAAGGCAGAUAUUUUUAGUGCCAUCAAUAUCUCCUGGAGUUGAUAUCUCCCAAGACAGAUGGUUGUUUCCCACAGAACGUUGUCAGAUGUUUGCUCAGCCAAGAUCAAUUUUGUUCCAAGUCCUUUCC
rnacentral:lncRNA from 1 species